UACGUAGGGGGCAAGCGUUGUCCGGAAUCAUUGGGCGUAAGGAGCGUGUAGGCGGCUCGAUAAGUCCGCUGUGAAAGUCCAGGGCUCAACCCUGGAAGGCCGGUGGAAACUGUCGGGCUAGAGUCCGGAAGAGGCGAGUGGAAUUCCCGGUGUAGCGGUGAAAUGCGCAGAUAUCGGGAGGAACACCAAUGGCGAAGGCAGCUCGCUGGGACGGUACUGACGCUGAGACGCGAAAGCGUGGGGAGCAAACAGG
rnacentral:rRNA from 1 species